UACGAAGGGGGCUAGCGUUGCUCGGAAUCACUGGGCGUAAAGGGUGCGUAGGCGGGUUUUUAAGUCAGAGGUGAAAUCCUGGAGCUCAACUCCAGAACUGCCUUUGAUACUGGGAAUCUUGAGUAUGGAAGAGGUGAGUGGAACUGCGAGUGUAGAGGUGAAAUUCGUAGAUAUUCGCAAGAACACCAGUGGCGAAGGCGGCUCACUGGCCUGAUACUGACGCUGAGGUGCGAAAGCGUGGGGAGCAAACAGG
rnacentral:rRNA from 1 species